rnacentral:rRNA from 1 species
AAUACAUGCAAGUCGAACGAACUUCCGUUAAUUGAUUAUGACGUGCUUGCACUGAAUGAGAUUUUAACACGAAGUGAGUGGCGGACGGGUGAGUAACACGUGGGUAACCUGCCCAGAAGCAGGGGAUAACACCUGGAAACAGAUGCUAAUACCGUAUAACAGAGAAAACCGCCUGGUUUUCUUUUAAAAGAUGGCUCUGCUAUCACUUCUGGAUGGACCCGCGGCGCAUUAGCUAGUUGGUGAGGUAACGGCUCACCAAGGCGAUGAUGCGUAGCCGACCUGAGAGGGUAAUCGGCCACAUUGGGACUGAGACACGGCCCAGACUCCUACGGGAGGCAGCAGUAGGGAAUCUUCCCCAAUGGACGCAAGUC